UACGUAGGCAGCGAGCGUUGUUCGGAUUUACUGGGCGUAAAGGGUGCGUAGGCGGUUGUUUAAGUUUGGUGUGAAAUCUCCCGGCUCAACUGGGAGGGUGCGCCGAAUACUGAAUGACUAGAGUGCGGGAGAGGAGAGUGGAAUUCCUGGUGUAGCGGUGAAAUGCGUAGAUAUCGGGAGGAACACCAGUGGCGAAGGCGGUUAGCUGGCCUGUAACUGACACUGAGGCGCGAAGGCUAGGGGAGCGAACAGG
rnacentral:rRNA from 1 species